UCUCAUUCACAAUUUUACUUUAUACGAGAAUCAAGAGUGGAUGAACAAUUUUUCUUGCCAAAUUAUUCAAUAAUCAAGUCUCUUCCUGCACACAAAAGCAAAUUAAUACAGUUCUAGCGUCUAUCCAUUUAUCUUUGCUUCAGUUUUUGACAUUUCUUCCCCACCAGAAUCUUAAAUUCUUAAUUACUUAGCACAUAAUCCAUAUAAAG
rnacentral:lncRNA from 1 species